rnacentral:rRNA from 1 species
UACAGGGGGGGCAAGCGUUGUUCGGAAUUACUGGGCGUAACGGGCUCGUAGGCGGCCAACUAAGUCACACGUGAAAUCCCCAGGCUUAACCUGGGAACUGCGUGUGAUACUGGAUGGCUUGAAUUCGGGAGAGGGAUGCAGAAUUCCAGGUGUAGCGGUGAAAUGCGUAGAUAUCUGGAGGAAUACCGGUGGCGAAGGCGGCAUCCUGGACCGACAUUGACGCUGAUGAGCGAAAGCUAGGGGAGCAAACGGG